GACGAACGCUGGCGGCGUGCUUAACGCAUGCAAGUCGAACGGAAAGGCACUGCUUUUGUGGGGUGCUCGAGUGGCGAACGGGUGAGUAACACGUGAGUAACCUGCCCUUGACUUUGGGAUAACUUCAGGAAACUGGGGCUAAUACCGGAUAGGAGCUCCUGCUGCAUGGUGGGGGUUGGAAAGUUUCGGCGGUUGGGGAUGGACUCGCGGCUUAUCAGCUUGUUGGUGGGGUAGUGGCAUACCAAGGCUUUGACGGGUAGCCGGCCUGAGAGGGUGACCGGCCACAUUGGGACUAAGAUACGGCCCAGACUCCUACGGGAGGCAGCAGUGGGGAAUAUUGCACAAUGGGCGGAAGCCUGAUGCAGCAACGCCGCGUGCGGGAUGACGGCCUUCGGGUUGUAAACCGCUUUCGCCUGUGACGAAGCGUGAGUGACGGUAAUGGGUAAAGAAGCACCGGCUAACUACGUG
rnacentral:rRNA from 1 species